rnacentral:lncRNA from 1 species
GAUGAACUGUGAACUUGGGGCAUCCGAGAGGCGCAGGCAUUUAGGAGUCCUGCAGCAAACCUGGACCCGAGUGUAAACACAGCUUCCAAAGCGAAAGCAGGGGCCUUGAGGAAAGGAGUUUUACCCUCAUCUCGCUCGCGACCAGCUUACUGUGCUGGAAAACAAAGUUCCAGUUUUUCUCUCAGAAGAUCCUGAGGCCUGCUUCUCUUCCUGGACUGUAUCUUUACCUGUGCUUCUCUCUCUUCCUCGUCUGUUCACCUGCUGACACCUGCUUAUUCCUACCUAGGAUUUGUCUCAGGUAUCACCUCCUCCAGGGAGCCUUCUGCGUUAUGUUAGAUAAUGUGAUGUAUGUGAUGUAAUUGAGAGAGGAGACUUUUUCUCUGUAUCACAGUGUCUGGCAUGUUACUGUCGCUUGCUACUCGUAGAAGGAAUAAAGAAGACAGGAUAAAACAGGCGAAGACCCAGAUCACUGAGUGUUCCUCUUGGGUGUGACGGAGCUGGGCCGAGAGUAAAGGCACGCAGCCGGACAGUGCAGGUGGAAAGGUGCUCCAUCACCUGUCACCUCUCAGGGCAGCCCCAGUCCCCUCUCCUCCUGCCCAGUCGGUCAUCUUUGAGCAUGCUUCAGCCACACCACUCUCACUCGAGGCGCUUCUGUGGAAGAGUUCCAGCUUCUUUACCCUGGCUGUCCGGACUCUGUCCACCUGGACCACACACCAUUUUUGACAUGUGCCCUAGCUAGCGUCCAUCGUCUAGGACUCAGGAAUUAUUUGUUGAUGGUCUUAACUACUAGGACUCAGGAAUUAUUUGCUGAUUUGCUUAACUACUUACUGACAGACAGUAUGGCAAAAGCGCAUCCUGAAGUGUCCAUUAAGACGUAUGCUAAACCAACUAUACUUUAGUUUUUUGAAAAGAGCAAGGAAGGAGAAAAGACGUGAGCUUCCGACCAUCUGUGGGUUUGAGGCGCAGUGCUGGCCGCAGUGCCCAUUAGAGAGCUCUGUGCCUGCACAGAGCUGACAGCCCAGCCGGGGAGGAGACGGGACAGUGCAGGCCACGCUAGGGAACCAGCAGCAGAAAUGACCGUGUCGCAAGGCAGUGUGUGGUUAAUGGCCAGACACACGGCUCAAGAAUGAAUCGUGUAGGUUCUCCACUCCAAAAGGACAGAAGCCAGCCUGGCCGCCUGUUGACCCACGUCACACAGCACAGGUACCCUGCCAGUCGCGCAGAACCCACCCCCCUGACUCCAAAGCUACAGAAAUACUGAAGAGAAUGUGCCGUUUGUCUCUGUAGCGCCCACAUUCCCUGAAAGACUCUCUCCUCCCCCCCUCCCUUCCUUGUCCAACUUUGUCCCUCCUUUGAGAGGCUCCUCUUCCUUUCAGAGCAGCCUAGAGACCCUGAGUACAGCCUGCUGACCCUGCAGGCAGCUUCUGCCAUGGAGUGGAGGGCAGUGCUCGUGCGCUUCUGUCCUGUGAGGGACGUGCACCGCCGCAGGGACCGUGUCUUUUCCCUCCAGCACCUGACGCUCUGCGACAUGGAGCACAUGUCCCUUAAGCGUUUGUCAUUGACCGAAAGGACUUAACACGUUAGAGGGGCUGAGUAACAUGGGUUGGCUUUAUAGGGUUAAGACAUGAAUGCUGUGAGUGCAGAAGAGGGUGACAAGCCAGAGUGGUCCAGGGAGACUCUGCAGAGCAAGCAGGGAAUAUUGGGCUGGGCCUGGGAGGCUUCGUACAUUUAAAAUGGGCGGAGAACCCCAGGUGGAGUAGCUCUGUGCCUGUGAUUGCUGCCAACCCAGCUGGUCUCUCGAAACAGGAAAACAGACCAGAGGGAGGGAGCCCUGCAGAGCCAGGCAGUGGGGGCAGCUUGUUUUAGUUGGAGCAGAGGGUUUGUCUAAAGGAAGGAGAGAGAAUGCCCUGGCAGAAGGAUGGACUUAGGAUGGAUUUAGGUGGUGGAAAGACCUCAAAUGCAGCGGGGUAUCUUGUCGGCAGCGGGCGCUGUGGAUUACUUUUGACAACCACAGUGACCUGAUGGAAGUGGUGUGGAAUGUGGGAGCUGCCCUGUGGCCCUGCCCUCAGUUUGCAUCACAGCCCAUGGUCCAGGUGGUCACCACGAUGCUUAGGACCCAGGUGUGAAGCCCCUCGACUGCACAGCGCUUCACCUUGCGGGGCUGGACCUGCCGUAAACAGCGGCUCUCCUUCCGGCAUUGCCCUUGACCUGGCUCUGAGCUGUUGAGGCUUUGGGUCCAUUCAGCUCUGUCCUGUCCCUCCACCCUCGUGACUGGCAAUGACCCGGAAGGGGGCAGCACCCCCGCAGCAGGUGGCCUCCAGAGCUGAGUCACUGCCCUGGGAAUGGUGCCCUGGUGAGGCUGGCUCAGGCAAAUGGGCGAGCUCUCCGCCCUGGCAGAGCCCAGAGCCCAGGAGAAAUAGAUUCCUUGUGCAUCUAGAGGCAUCACUGAGCUGAUAAGAAAGUGAAGUAAAGGCAGCUGGAGACCCAGAAGCAAACUGUCCCAAUGAUAGUUUCUAGCUGGGUCUUUGGCAGAGUCCAAAGCAUUUUUCUCACAAUUAAACGUACGGGCCGUGGUUGUUUUAUUUGAACACACCAAAAUUAUCCAUUUACGGAUACCCUUAAGAAUGGAAUGCAAAGGAGUUUAAGAUAAUGUCUUAAGAUUCUUUUUGACCUUGUAAAUUACAAGCGCUUAAGGAAUGAGCUUAAGGAUUAAAAUGAUCUGGAGAGUUAUUCUUGGAAAUUAAUAAAUGAAGUUUAGGUCUUUUUUUUUUUAACACGUUUUCUUUAUCAUUCCUAAAUACUCUGAUGGAUGUUGUUUUUUGAAAAUGAUCCUGCUUUUAAUUCAUCACAGAGAAGAUAGAAAUAUAGUGUUGCUUUUGAAAGGAGGGUUUUUUGGGUGGUUUUUUUUCCCCUAAGUCUGGCUUGUUUACUACACCAAUGAAUAGAGAUGACCUCAGUCUGAAAAAACAAGCUAACCAUACUCUCUCUCCUUGCCUGGCAAAAAAGGCCUUUAUCAAGUAGCAAAAGACAGCAAGUCAGACCACCAAGUCAUCAUUUUAGCUGAUUAGAUUUUCCAAAAGACAGAACAGUAAGCUCUCCACGUUUUCACUGCUGAGCAGUGGCUCUUGGGAAAUACUCCCAACUCAGUUUCUGUAAAACCUUAAAAAGUCUGGUGACAGUUACUCAGACAGCUGCCCGAAUGCAGAUGCUACAGAUGUGGUUGCCCAUGCCCUCGCCCCUGUGAGAUUUCAGAAUGGGAGAAAAUAGCAUCACGUCUCUUGCUUUUUGAGUACGAAAUUUUUUAAUUAAAAAAGAAAAAAAAA